AUUGAACGCUGGCGGCAUGCCUUACACAUGCAAGUCGAACGGCAGCACGGGUGCUUGCACCUGGUGGCGAGUGGCGAACGGGUGAGUAAUACAUCGGAACACGUCCUGUAGUGGGGGAUAGCCCGGCGAAAGCCGGAUUAAUACCGCAUACGAUCUACGGAUGAAAGCGGGGGACCUGCGGGCCUCGCGCUAUAGGGUUGGCCGAUGGCUGAUUGGCUCGUUGGUGGGGUAAAGGCCUACCAAGGCGACGAUCAGUAGCUGGUCUGAGAGGACGACCAGCCACACUGGGACUGAGACACGGCCCAGACUCCUACGGGAGGCAGCAGUGGGGAAUUUUGGACAAUGGGCGAAAGCCUGGUCCAGCAAUGCCGCGUGUGUGAAGAAGGCCUUCGGGUUGUAAAGCACUUUUGUCCGGAAAGAAAUCCUUGGCCCUAAUACGGUCGGGGGAUGACGGUACCGGAAGAAUAAGCACCGGCUAACUACGUG
rnacentral:rRNA from 1 species